GUCUAUAGCCAUGCUACCCUGAACAUGCCCGAUCCCAUCUGAUCUUGGAAGCUAAGCAGGGUCGGGCCUGGUUAGUACUUGAAUGGGAGGCUACCUAGGAAGAGCAGGUACUGUAGGCA
rnacentral:rRNA from 1 species